AUUGAACGCUGGCGGCAUGCCUUACACAUGCAAGUCGAACGGCUGCACGGGUGCUUGCCCCUGGUGGCGAGUGGCGAACGGGUGUGUAAUACAUCGGAACAUGUCCUGUAGAGGGGGAUAGCCCGGCGAAAGCCGGGUUAAUACCGCAUACGAUUCACGGGUGAAAGCUGGGGACUUUCGGGCCUCGCGCUAUGGGGUUGGCCGAUGGCUGAUUAGCUCGUUGGUGGGGUACAGGCCUACCAAGGCGACGAUCAGUAGCUGGUCUGAGAGGAAGACAAGCCACACUGGAAGUGAGACACGGUCCAUACUCCUACGGGAGGCAGCAGUGGGGAAUUUUCGACGAUGGGCGAAAGCCUGGUCCAGCAACGCCGCGUGUGUGAAGAAGGCCUUCGGGUUGUAAAGCACUUUUGUCCGGAAAGAAAACCUUUGCUCUAAUACAGUCGGGGGAUGACGGUACCGGAAGAAUAAGCACCGGCUAACUACGUG
rnacentral:rRNA from 1 species